rnacentral:rRNA from 1 species
UAACCUGCCCAAGAGAUCGGGAUAACACCUGGAAACAGAUGCUAAUACCGGAUAACAACAGAUGAUGCCUAUCAACUGUUUAAAAGAUGGUUCUGCUAUCACUCUUGGAUGGACCUGCGGUGCAUUAGCUAGUUGGUAGGGUAACGGCCUACCAAGGCGAUGAUGCAUAGCCGAGUUGAUAGACUGAUCGGCCACAUUGGGACUGAGACACGGCCCAAACUCCUACGGGAGGCAGCAGUC